GAGCGACUUCACUUUCACUUUCAUACUAAAAUUGGAAUGGUACAGAGAAGAUUAGCAUGGCCCCUGCACAAGUAUGACAUGCAAAUCUGUGAAAUAGUCCAUAUUUUU
ensembl:snRNA U6 U6 spliceosomal RNA